GUACAGAUGGUCUGCCUGCAGAGAUUUCAUGUUGGCUAAACCAAAAACCACAAACACAUUAUUGUCUCUUAGAAAUGAAGUGCGCUAACCAACACUUGGUUACACUUGGAGAGGCAAGCAGCAUCUUUAAUUCUGAAUUCACUAUGAGUUUAAUUUCCAGCUGUCCCUCUUUUCUGGUUUGAGACCCAGACUUUGAUUUUAACCACCCCAUCGUCUUACAUCUGUACCGCUCAGUGUCAACUAGGAGCUAAAAGUACCUGUUAAGUAAACAUUAUUUUAUGGUGAUAGGUUCAUUAUUUUCAUUUAAAAAAAAGACUAAUUAACUGUUUCAAGUUUAAGUUUAUUUCAAGUUUAUUUAUUUAUAUAGCACUUUUAAAAACAACAACUGUUGACCAAAGUACUCUGCAAUAAAAUAGUCAAAUCAGAAGACUUAUCAAAUAACAUAGAAUGUAAAUUAAGAGAAAAUAGAAUCACAGAAAGAACAAUAGUAACAGACACAUUUUGAUUUAAAGGCCAGAGAAUAAAAGUGGGUCUUUAGACGGGUUUUAAAAGUAUCCAGUGUUGGGAAGAUCCUCAUAUGCAGGGGCAAUGUGUUCCAUAAUUUAGGAGCAGUCAUGGCCCGGUCUCUUCUGUGUAUUAAUCUGGACCUUGGGACAACCAAGCGCAUUUGGUCUGCAGACUUCAAGGAUCUUGGGGGAGAAUACCAGGUUUCACUGAUUUGUAGUGUGCCUGUCAGUCUUGGGCCCUUCAUCGCUUUGCCAACCCAUUAGCAGAUAUACAUUUUCCCCAUGUUAACUGGUCUCUAGGCCUCUGUGAUUGGGGUUUGAAUUGAAUUACCACUGUCACUGAACAACCCUUUGGCAUUUUGCAGUGAAACCUUGUUGAGCCAUUAAGAACAAAUACUCACACAAGUCUAUUUUUUUGUGCUGAACAGCAGCAUGAAAAUCCAACAUAUGAACCCAAGACAGUAUAUACAGGGAUGCUUUGCCUUGCUGUUGGGACUUUUGAAUGCAGCAAUGCAAAUGGUGCCAGCUCUCAGGAUAAUAAUCUCAUACUAGUGGAAGAGGCCAAAUUUUAAUCAGGUAAGGUUUUUGCUUUUACUUCAAAGCAAAACUUGUUUGAUUAUGGCUCAAUGAGCUAAAUGUUGAUUCAAAUAGUUACCACCCCCAAUAUCUUUCCAUGCUGUUGUCAUUUAUAAUAUAUUCACAAUAUAUCAAUAAAAGGUGGCAUUUGGCUUCAUAGUUAACACGAAAUAGCCUCCACUGUUUGGCUUCUCUUACUUAACAGAAAGGAUUAUUUCUGGCUCCAGGGCACUUCUUCCUCCAAUAAACAUUUUUGUGACAAAACAUAUUCACUCAGAUGCUUUUAGAAACAAAACAACAUCUUUCUGACAGUUACUUUGAAUGUGUUCUCGUCCUUUCUCCUCAUCUGUACAAUGGCUUGAAAAUUGACCACUGGGAUGUACUCCAGUUUUAAGAUGAAUUACACUGUGCCUUAGAUCAGCUCCCAAAGGUGCUGUAGGUUGUGUCAGAACCACAGAGUGCUUUGAGGAGACAGAAGGUAAGUGGAUUAGUGGCUUGAGAGAGGUUAAAGGAUAAUUUUGUGUAAGAAGAUGAAUGCAAACUCUCUACCUGUGUAUAGCUAGGAACACAUGGUUUAUAAAUAUAUAUAGUAGUUUCAUUUUUCCAAGGUCCUGUGCAUUGUGCAGGGAGUGAUUAAAGCUUGGUUCUUCCUCUGCAGAGACAGUACAUUUUCAAAGUCACAGCUCUGUAGAAGAAUAAAGACAAAGAAAGCAAUAAAUCCCCUCACAUCACUGCUACAACCUGCAUUAAAAUAUACAGUUAAAAACUCGUUUCUGUUGAAACUUCAUGCUGUCAGUUAAGCAUUUCAUUUGAAAGCUUGAGAAAUGUCUUCUGACGAUUAUUUUAGCCACAUAAUACAUAAACAACAUUAUUAUGAAAGACAUUUUUAAACUAAUCCAAACUGGAAGUGUAGUUGCUUUUAUAUGGCAUGUCAUUUUUCAGUGUUUCAGUCACCACUGCCCUGCUUUUCUAUAGAGGACCUUGCGAUGAAGCUAGGUUAAUAAACUAAGCCUGGUGCUAACACAUAGAUCACCGACUUCAUUGAAAUGAGGCUGCUCAGGUGUUGUUCAUGCAGCUGCGAUUUUCUGUCAACCAAUCAAGCAAUUAUAAAUAAGUUGAAAAUCCAGAGUUUAAAUACCACCACAGACCUUAAAAGUAAUUUAAUAAACUAUGAAAUGAAGCAUCUUUCCCAGGAAAUUCCUCUGAUUCUUAAUUGUAACUCUUUAUCUAAUUGUAGCCAGUGCUAGCUUGCCAUCCAUCUUUGUCAGUUUUAACAAAGCACCUACGAUUGCUAUUAGCUCACCUUUCCUCUUAGAAGCUGCAUAUUGAUUUUCCUCCUUCUUCAUGUGUUCCUUUCACUGCUUUACACGCUCCCUCAUUCAUCUGAACUCUAAGAAUAGAUCCCACUGAACCCCAAAGGAGUUUUCACAGGAAUGUCCAACUUGUUCCAGUGAGGUUUGGUGGAAGUAGGGAUGAAGAUAAAUCGCAUGUGCUCGCUUACUGCAACAUUUCUUUCCUCAUGGAGUGUAUAUUUCUGCAACAAUGCUCAGCUUUUACGAGCCUUGGGUUGCAGCUCUUGUUUUUUGUUUUUGCCUUAUCUCUGAGGAUUAGAUGGAGGUUCAUAUGAUCACAUUUUGUAAGUAGGUCUGUGCCAAAUGUCUAAGUUGUCCAUCUGCAGAUGUAGAUAUCUGAACUAAACCAAAGUAAGCAACAAGCAGAAUCACACUACACUGCCCCGGUGCUGGCAGUGCAUCUUCACAGCAUUAAUAAAAAAAACAACCCACAGAUGCAUCCUUUAGUUUCACAAUUCAGGAAGGCAUAAAGGGACAUGCAAAUAUUUAGAGUAUUACAGCAAAUUAUUUAUAGUGUUGGAUUCGGUACUGGAUGCCUCUCUGUGCUCUUUCUCUCUGACCUAACCAUGUUUACAUACAACCAUAGGCAUUAAGCUGUGACAUAUCCACACCCCACUGAAACUGUUAACUUUUAGUAGCUGUUAUAAAUAAGUAAGGCAAUCGAUCCCAAAGAGUUUCCAUGGUUCCUAAAGGGGGUGAAUAUACAGCAUUUUUGUUUUUAUUAGCACAGGUUAGGGAAAAGAAGGUUUUUGGACUAAACCUAUAAUCUUCUACUUUUUCAUGGUGAAGAUGGAGAUGACCGCACCACUGUUCCUACAGAGAAGCAAUGACUGUCUUAAAAAUAAAUUACAGCAAACAACCAAAUAAUAAUCACCACUCCCUCCAGCUGCCUGCUUUCCAUCCCAGUCUGAGGGCAUGUGAGCCUUUGCCAAACUAAGCAGCAGAUGUUUUGAAUCUAAAAGAUACACAAUCACUUAAUCCUUUGCAAUUCACAUUCUGAGCAACACCGUUUAACUGGAUCCACAGUGAGGAGGGAGGUUGGCUCAAAGGGUUUCAUUCCAUAGGGCUAUAUUUAAUUCGAGGGGAUGAAGCAAAUUAAAAAACAGAUCUGAAAAAUGUAAUUCAGUAGGUAAAAUUGCGGGCAUUAUUGGAUCUUUAAUAAUAUCACCUUAAAUCUAAAUUGCGGCUUUGAGGCAGUGUAUGUGCUUCGCCCCCGAAUGAAAUGCUGAAGAUGGAGCAGAAACAUGAAAUGAUUCAUCUGUCAGUGCUCUCAAAUUUUAUCUUCUCACUUUUCCUUCCUUGGGAUGUGGACUGCUGAAUUAUUUAAAGUGUUUCACUAUAGAAUUUUUUCUUCUUUUGAUAAGAAAUGAAAAUAUAUCAACCACCAGCAGAUUCACAGAUAACAGAUUUAAAAAAUCAGCAUUUACCUUUUUGAAAGGAAACCCUUUAAGUGAUAUAAAGAAGACAACAGCGCAGUCCCUUUGCAGGUUUUUGAUACAACCUAUUUUAUAUGAAAUUUAGAGUGUAAUAAAAAGUUUAAUAAUUAAAGAUAUGAUUUCUAAUCUGACUUCAUUUUAAAUUAACUUGAAUAAUUUUGGAACCUAAAAUGCUUUGUACUUACACGGAAAGCUUCAAAUCUCGCAUUAUGAAAGUAUCUUAACCACAUACAGCAGAUUUGUCUCACAUAAAGUCACUGAACCAUAAGGAGAAUAUUUAGGAGUGAAAAUGAGCUGAUAGUCCGUCUGCUCUUUCAUCUAAAAGCAACUAAUCUUACAGCAGCUGUAAGCCGAACAACACAUUCUCCUGCCUUCAUCAAGUGUUUCAAGUGACCUCACACACACACACCUAACAUAUGUCUAACAUAAGUAACUCAACUUGUUGCACUAAUGAUAUUAAUAUAUAUUUAUAGUUUUGUGUUAAAAAGAGUGCUUAUCAAUUUAAAUUGCUCGUCACCGUCUUUAAUCCAUAUUAUUUUCCUACAGCACCAUCAUAAGUGCUAUAAUUCAGAUGUACAUUUCUUUCUCAAACAUAUUUCAGUUUUAUUGAAUGUAUAAUAUGUGUAAAAAAUAUUUACAUCAACCAUAACUGCAUUACAAAAGCUGUGACUUAAAAAAAAGAACACUGUAGUAUGUACAGUGAUUGCUUUAUCAAUUUUAUGGUACCUAAUAUGUUCUGCAAUCCUGCAGCUGUUGUUCGUUUUCUUUUGUUUUUGUUCUGGAGUCGAUGCUUUAAUAAAUACAUUUUUCUACGGCACAAAAGGGAAACCUACGCAGUGCUUGAUGUGUCUAGCCGAUGUUGCUGUGGGUGGCGGCAGAACCAGAACGCAAAGAAGUCCUGCUCCCUUCUCUCCCUGGUGUUUAUUUUUUUCAUUUGUGAACAACAUAAAAAUGCAAUUUGCCCAAAUGCUCUCUGCCUCUUCUUUUAGUACAUAAAGCACUAUUUUACUGCUCUA
ensembl:lncRNA